rnacentral:rRNA from 1 species
GACGAACGCUGGCGGCGUGCUUAACACAUGCAAGUCGAACGGUGAAGCGAGUGCUUGCACUCGUGGAUCAGUGGCGAACGGGUGAGUAACACGUGAGUAACCUGCCCAUCACUCUGGGAUAAGCACUGGAAACGGUGUCUAAUACUGGAUACGACCAACCCUUGCAUGGGGUGUUGGUGGAAAGAUUUAUCGGUGAUGGAUGGACUCGCGGCCUAUCAGCUUGUUGGCGGGGUAAUGGCCCACCAAGGCGACGACGGGUAGCCGGCCUGAGAGGGUGACCGGCCACACUGGGACUGAGACACGGCCCAGACUCCUGCGGGAGGCAGCAGUGGGGAAUAUUGCACAAUGGGCGAAAGCCUGAUGCAGCGACGCCGCGUGAGGGAUGACGGCCUUCGGGUUGUAAACCUCUUUCAGCAGGGAAGAAGCGAAAGUGACGGUACCUGCAGAAGAAGCACCGGCUAACUACGUG